rnacentral:rRNA from 1 species
AUUGAACGCUGGCGGCAGGCCUAACACAUGCAAGUCGAGCGGAUGAAGGGAGCUUGCUCCUGGAUUCAGCGGCGGACGGGUGAGUAAUGCCUAGGAAUCUGCCUGGUAGUGGGGGAUAACGUCCGGAAACGGGCGCUAAUACCGCAUACGUCCUGGGGGGGAAAGUGGGGGAUUUUCGGACCCACCGCUAUCAGAUGAGCCUAGGUCGGAUUAGCUAGUUGGUGGGGUAAAGGCCUACCAAGGCGACGAUCCGUAACUGGUCUGAGAGGAUGAUCAGUCACACUGGAACUGAGACACGGUCCAGACUCCUACGGGAGGCAGCAGUGGGGAAUAUUGGACAAUGGGCGAAAGCCUGAUCCAGCCAUGCCGCGUGUGUGAAGAAGGUCUUCGGAUUGUAAAGCACUUUAAGUUGGGAGGAAGGGCAGUAAGUUAAUACCUUGCUGUUUUGACGUUACCAACAGAAUAAGCACCGGCUAACUUCGUG